rnacentral:tRNA from 2 species
GGGUCGGUGCCCGAGUGGUUAAAGGGGACGGAUUGUAAAUCCGUUGGCGAAGCCUUCACUGGUUCAAAUCCAGUUCGACCCA